CAGUCGCCACGGUAAUACGAAGGGGGCUAGCGUUGUUCGGAAUUACUGGGCGUAAAGCGCGCGCAGGCGGUUCUCCAAGUCAGUGGUGAAAGCCCGGAGCUCAACUCCGGAGCUGCCAUUGAAACUGUUAAACUUGAGGACGAGAGAGGUGAGUGGAAUUCCCAGUGUAGAGGUGAAAUGCGCAGAUAUCAGGAGGAACACCGGUGGCGAAGGCGGUUCUCUGGCAAUGUUCUGACGCUGAGGAGCGAAAGUGUGGGGAGCGAACAGGAUUAGAUACCCCUGUAGUCCCUGUCUCUUAUAC
rnacentral:rRNA from 1 species